rnacentral:rRNA from 1 species
AUGUUUCGGUUUGAAUCGUUCUGGCCAAAAUUUCCUCACUUCCAUGAGCCGGUGAACAAAGCUUGGAACAGACCCGUCAACCACUCAUGUGCUUUCGUUAGGCUGAAGCUGAAACUUUUGAGAACAGCCAAAGAUCUGAAAAUUUGGAGCAAGUCACAUUUCAGUGAUGCUAGAUUGCAGUUCCACAUUGCUUCUGAAAUCAUUCUUCGCCUCGACGUCGCCCAAGAAUCAAGGCUGCUGACUCCUUUGGAGCUCACACUGAGAAAAAAUCUAAAAACCAGGCUGCUUGGACUUGCUGCUAUUGAGCGUGUUCGGAAAAGGCAGGCAUCUAGAAUCACCUGGUUGCGAGUGGGGGAUGCAAAUACAAAAAAUUUCAGUGCAAAAAUCAACUCAAGGCGUCGCAAAAACUUCAUCGCUGCAUUGAAAACAAAUGAGGGGCUGGUCACUGCCCAUGAAGAAAAGGAGAAGUUCAUUUUUGAACACUUCAACAGUCUGUUGGGAUCUAAGCAAGACUGCCCAAAAAUGAUCAACUGGGAUGAGCUUCAGUUACCGUCCGUUCAGGGUGGGGGCCUUGAUAACCCAUUCACUAAAGAAGAGAUU